GUACGUACAAGCAGUGGGAGCACAGGUUUACCUGUGUGACUGCGUACCUUUUGUAUAAUGGGUCAGCGACUUAUAUUCUGUAGCAAGGUUAACCGCAUAGGGGAGCCGGAGGGAAACCGAGUCUUAAUUGGGCGUUAAGUUGCAGGGUAUAGACCCGAAACCCGGUGAUCUAGCCAUGGGCAGGUUGAAGGUUGGGUAACACUAACUGGAGGACCGAACCGACUAAUGUUGAAAAAUUAGCGGAUGACCUGUGGCU
rnacentral:rRNA from 1 species